AUUGAACGCUGGCGGCAGGCUUAACACAUGCAAGUCGAGCGGGGUGAUGGUGCUUGCACUAUCACUUAGCGGCGGACGGGUGAGUAAUGCUUAGGAAUCUGCCUAUUAGUGGGGGAAAACAUCUCGAAAGGGAUGCUAAUACCGCAUACGUCCUACGGGAGAAAGCAGGGGAUCACUUGUGACCUUGCGCUAAUAGAUGAGCAUAAGUCGUAUUAGCUAGUUGGUGGGGUAAAGGCCUACCAAGGCGACGAUCUGUAGCGGGUCUGAGAGGAUGAUCCGCCACACUGGGACUGAGACACGGCCCAGACUCCUACGGGAGGCAGCAGUGGGGAAUAUUGGACAAUGGGGGGAACCCUGAUCCAGCCAUGCCGCGUGUGUGAAGAAGGCCUUAUGGUUGUAAAGCACUUUAAGCGAGGAGGAGGCUCUUUUGGUUAAUACCCAAGAUGAGUGGACGUUACUCGCAGAAUAAGCACCGGCUAACUCUGUGCCAGCCGCCGCAGUAA
rnacentral:rRNA from 1 species